rnacentral:rRNA from 1 species
AGUCGAGCGAGGUCCAUCCAGUGGUAACACUGGUGAAGACCUAGCGGCGAACGGGUGAGUAACACGUGAGAAACCUGCCCCGAAGACUGGGAUAACUCUCCGAAAGGAGAGCUAAUACCAGAUGCCCUCACCGGGCCGCAUGACUUGGUGAGGAAAUGGAUUCCGCUUCGGGAGGGUCUCGCGGCCUAUCAGCUUGUUGGUGAGGUAACGGCUCACCAAGGCUUCGACGGGUAGCUGGUCUGAGAGGAUGAUCAGCCACACUGGGACUGAGACACGGCCCAGACUCCUACGGGAGGCAGCAGUGGGGAAUCUUGCGCAAUGGGCGAAAGCCUGACGCAGCAACGCCGCGUGGGGGAUGAAGGCUCUCGGGUUGUAAACCCCUUUCAGCAGGGAAGAUUAUGACGGUACCUGCAGAAGAAGCCCCGGCCAACUACGUGCCAGCAGCCGCGGUAAUACGUAGGGGGCAAGCGUUGUCCGGAUUUAUUGGGCGUAAAGAGCUUGUAGGCGGCUUGGUAAGUCGAGUGUGAAAACUCCAGGCUCAACCUGGA